GGAUCCGUAGCUCAGCUUGGAUAGAGCGACUGCCUUCUAUGAAGAUCCGGGGAGAGCAGUAGGUCGAGGGUUCGAAUCCCUUCGGAUCCG
rnacentral:tRNA from 1 species